AUUUAAAUAGUUUAAAAUAAAAUAUAGAUUUGUGGGAUCUAUGAUAUGAUUAGUCAUUUUAAGUA
rnacentral:tRNA from 1 species